rnacentral:lncRNA from 1 species
CCCAAAGUUUAUACCCAACGAGUCUCAUUGACCUCUGUUGGCCCGAUUACGGGGAUGUGAUAGUUAGCUUAUCCAUGUUCGGCAAUGUUGCUCGGGAGAUGUUGUUUUUGCACUCAGAUGUUUCUGUUCCCUAUAUGAUGCCCUCGAGUCGGCUCUCGUGAAGAGGAAUGGACUGAGUGUUGGAAUUUAAGAGGAGUUUUUCAAAGAAAUUAAUCUCUUAACGGAACAAUCCCGAUGAAUGAAUCUUGAUUAAACCAUUAAUCACAAAUCAAACAUAAAAUAAG